GCCAGCAGCUAUAUCACCCUCCAGCUCUCAUCUGGCUACCCACUGAAGCUAAUCAGGGUUAAGCCUGGUCAUUACCUGGAUGGGAGACCUUCUGGGAAACUAUGGUUGCUGUUGAAA
rnacentral:rRNA from 1 species